GUUCACUUUUCCAAUAGGGCUGGGCUCCAAACAUACCAGGGCAUACUCGAUAAGUUGGGGUAGCCAAAAUCCCUCCCCCCAUAAAAAUCUAAAAACGAUGAGAGGCCAGUCCAGUUGACCAGUCCCAUCAAAAAAAUUAAAUAACAUAGAACCGACCAAUUCAACCGUUCAAUUUUCUUUGAUGGUCCACGAAAUUUCCAAAAAAAUAGGCUGUGCCUGCAGAGUCUGAGGUCCCAAUCCAUCCAAAAUUUGUCCGUUGAAAUUGUUCUUCCCCAUUCCAAAGGCAGGUCUAGUUUAUGGGUCUAGUUCCAACGUCAACCGUUUGCAGGCGUGCCAACUGCUAUGGUGUUUUUGGUUUUUUCACUAGCAGGGAUGCUGCUUAAAAGUUCCAGAGUUCGAAAAGGCAGCAGAGACGACAAGCAUGACAGAUGUUCCAGAUAAUAGAUAGGAGAUAUAAGAAGUAUCCUAGAUGCAGUGUUAUGCUCUUAUCAAUCCAGGUUUUGAGCAAGAGGAAAUAAAUUCUAAGGAUACGGAUUUUGAUCAAAAAAAAUUUAAACUUUUUUUUAAUAAUUACAAAUACACAAAAGGUUAAUUAAUUACUAAUUUAUAAGAUUCAUUUAAAGGUCUGUUUUUUUUUAAAUUCAAUACAAAAAAUUGGUUUUUUUUUCUAAUUAGCAGAGCUGUGUCUAAAUUGUUGAAUUAUUUUUAUUUUAAGGUUUUUUUAAGCAAGUAUUUUUUCCCAUUUUGAGUCAUUACAAUACUUUUGUCUGUAUAUUUUAUAAUUAAAAAAUAUAAGUGACCAACACAAA